rnacentral:misc_RNA from 1 species
UGUUUGUCUUCUAACUCAACAAACCUAGCUUCUAGGUUUUCAAGAGCCUCGCUAGUUUCUUCUACCUGAGAGACCAGAGUACUCUUUUCGGAUAUAAGAUUGGAAUUCUGAGUAGAGAGUGACUGACAGGAUUCUUCAGAGACUUUCAACUUUCCUCUUAAAUCCUCAAGUUCAACAUUCGCAUCAGACAGCGAGUUCUUCAAGAAUGCAUUUCUCUCCAAAAGCUUCUCCAUCUCCUGAGAAGUAGUUUUUACUUGGGAGACCAUUGUAGCCUUGUCAGUUAGAUGGACAGAUAUUUCAUCACAAAGCAAUUCACAGGACUGUUCUAAUCCCUUAACCUUCUCUCUUAAAGUCUCGAUCUCAACAUUGGCAUCCGAUAAAGAAUUUUCUAAAACCACAUUCUUUUCUGAUACAAUCACCAUAUCUUUAAGGUUUUCCAAAUGAGCCUUUUUUUCAUUCUCAUGCCUAUUGCAUCUCUCCUUUAGUUCGGCAUUGCCACUUUGCAACUGCUUCACCAACGCCUGAAGAGACAUCACAUUAAAGUUGGCUGCUUCUACUUGCUCGGUUAACUGAUGGUAACUCUGUUUUAACUCGUUUCUGUCGUCUUUUAGACUGGAGAAUUCUUCCCGAAGGGCUUUCUUUUCGUCUCUAAGGAGGCUCGCUUCAUUUUCAAGUUUCAUGUUCGAAGCGUUGAAGGAUGAUAUUUCAUCUUGCAGAAUAAUGAUUGUCGAAGCAGAAGUGAGACAUUGUUCAUUUAGGCUACCAUGUUCCUCCUUGAUUUUCCGUAGCUCUUCUUCUAAAGCCACUCUUCUCAGGUUGCUGUCUUUUAACUUCUCAAUCCCAGCUUGAAUCUCAAGACCUAA